rnacentral:rRNA from 1 species
GACGAACGCUGGCGGCGUGCUUAACACAUGCAAGUCGAACGGAAAGGCUCCAGCUUGCUGGAGUACUCGAGUGGCGAACGGGUGAGUAACACGUGGGUAAUCUGCCCUGCACUCUGGGAUAAGCCUGGGAAACUGGGUCUAAUACUGGAUAUGACCUUUCUCCUUAUGGGGUUUGGUGGAAAGUUUUUCGGUGUAGGAUGAGCCCGCGGCCUAUCAGCUUGUUGGUGGGGUGAUGGCCUACCAAGGCGACGACGGGUAGCCGGCCUGAGAGGGUGAUCGGCCACAUUGGGACUGAGAUACGGCCCAGACUCCUACGGGAGGCAGCAGUGGGGAAUAUUACACAAUGGGCGGAAGCCUGAUGCAGCGACGCCGCGUGAGGGAUGACGGCCUUCGGGUUGUAAACCUCUUUCAGCAGGGACGAAGCGUAAGUGACGGUACCUGCAGAAGAAGCACCGGCUAACUAUGUG